rnacentral:lncRNA from 1 species
GUAGGAGUCAAAGAGGAUUCUGGGAGAUGUAGUAGAGAAGUGAUGGUCCAGGCAGGAAGUGACAUAGCAAGAAGACUCAUAUUUGAGCGAGGAGAAAUGGGAAGUUCCUUCUUUUCCCCUCUGCUCCUGUUCCAGCGACACAAUGUGAUCCACCAGCAAGGAUGAAUGCCAUAAGGCAUCUGAUAAGAUAAGUCUUAUAACAUAUAUAGAUUUAUGAUAGUUAAGACUGAGCUAACAGAUAAGAAUCUUAGUCAUUGACCAAGCAGCUUUGAACCUAAUACAAGUUUCUGUGUAUUCAUUUGGGCCUAACUCGGCCAGGCAGAUGGCGGAAAGCUUACACGUGGUGGUGGGGCUCAGCAGCUUUUGGCAGAAAGAUUUAUUGUAACAGAAUGGUGUAAGAAGUGGGAUGACUCCAUGCCCCAAGGUUCCCAGAGAAAGAGGUAAACCUGCCACCACAGCUUGCCCUGUCGGGCCACUGAGCAGCAUGGGAGCAGUUUCCAUAUGCUCUCAAUGUCCCCGUGCUUCUGGGGUUUAGACUCGGCACUACCAAGAUGAUAAAGACAGAUCCAGAUGAAUAAAAACCUCUAAAGUUUUACACUACAUUUAAAAAUAUAUGUAGGCUUGUGACAGAAAAAAAAAAAAAAAACAGGAGGAAAUAGAGUAGCUGGUUGUGGUGGCCAACGCCGGUAGGAUUUGCUAAAGGAAGCAGAGGCAGGCAGAUUUCCACAGAGAAACCCUGUCUCAGAAAAAAGAAAGAAAGAAAGAAAGAAAGAAAGUAAAAAUAAAGUAAUAAAAAAGCCACAUAAAGAUAAAAAUACACAGAGAAUCUGGAUACUAUAUGUCAUAUUGUUGUCUUUAAAUUGUUUGAUUGCCGAGGAAAGAAUUACUGCUGCUAAAAUACAUUUGAUUAUAAAUGCUGCUCAAUUAAUUCAACUUGUACAUUUUAAAAAUACUUUGACUUCAAAAUUUAAGUCUAAAGACAGGCUACUUAGAAAUAAAGGUUUUACUUAUAUUUCCACAGAAAAUCAAAAGCUGUGGGUUCCUUCCAGACUAAUAUGGUUUGAUCAAGCAAGACCCCCUAAAGCUGAGAUGAUACAGCCUUACAGACUACAAAAACAAGGACUUGGUCAGAGUGUUCAUCCUGUAUCUGAUGGAAGCAGAAGCAGACACCCACAGCUAAACACUGAGCUGAACUGCUGGAAUCCAGUUGCAGAGAGGGCGGAGUGAUGAGCAAAGGGUAAAGACCGGCCUGGAGAAACCUACAGAAACAGGUGACCUGAACAUGGAUGGGGUUGUUCAUGGACCCCAGACUGAUAACUGGUGAACCAACACCGAACCAAACGAGGCUUCCUGAAUGUGGGUGUCAGCUAGGAUCACUGGGCAGUCUAUGGGGCCUCUGGCAGUGAAACCAGGAUGUAUCCCUAAUGUAGAAACAGACUUCAGGAGCCCAUUUACCAUGAAAGGAUAUUAUCUUAGCCUAGAUACACAGGGGAGGGCCUAGGCCCUGACCCAAAUGACUGGACAGAUUUUUGAUGAUCCCUCAUGGAAGGCCUCACUCCUGGAGCGUGGAUGGGGGGAUUGGUAGGGCAAUGGGAGGAUGGGAGUAGAGGGAACUGGGAUUUAUAUUUAAAAUAAGAUUGUUUCUAAUUUAAAUAAAAUUUAUUUUAAAAGAAAAGGCA